rnacentral:piRNA from 1 species
UGCUGACAGAAGCCUUGAGAAGCACCU